rnacentral:rRNA from 1 species
UACGGGGGGGGCAAGCGUUGUUCGGAAUUACUGGGCGUAAAGGGCUCGUAGGCGGCCAACUAAGUCAUACGUGAAAUCCCUCGGCUUAACCGGGGAACUGCGUCUGAUACUGGAUGGCUUGAGUUCGGGAGAGGGAUGCGGAAUUCCAGGUGUAGCGGUGAAAUGCGUAGAUAUCAAGUGGAACACCAGUGGCGAAGGCGAGUCCCUGGACAACACCUGACACUGAGGCACGAAAGCUAGGGGAGCAAACAGG